rnacentral:lncRNA from 1 species
AGUCCGACUCCCUUUCAGCUGCCUGCGGUCCUCCGGAGUCCCACUGGGGUGUUCCUGGGCCCAGCUUGAAUCCCCUCUUUUAGCCCACUGAAGUCCUUCUGGGGUACUGCGGUGUUCCUGGGCCCAGCCUGGAUCCCCUUGUCCCCCUGAAGUUCUUCGGGGUGUUCCUGGGCCGUACUUGGACCCCCGAUGGUUCCCUGGAGUCCUCCUGGGUUGCCUCCCCCAAGAACUGGAAUAUUCCUAGGCCCAGCCUGGAUUUGCCUCCGUUCAGCCUCCUGAAAUCAUUCUGAGCCUCAGCCUAGACCCCUUCCCAGUCCCGGAGGUCCCCUUGAGACCCAGGAUGUUUUGAUGGCUCAGUGAGUCAUCGGAUCUGAGGACCAACAGCCACCUGAGUCUCCUUCCCUCACCAGGCAAGGGACUGAUCCUAAAACAGGCCAAGAAGGACUGUGCAGGCUCAGAUGCUGCAUCAGGACCAGGCCAUCUGCACACCACUUGAAACCUGUGUGGCCUCUUGCCUGCUCAGGCCUUGGGAUCCAAGCCCUAUUUUCCAAGUUCACUUGAAAACGACUUAGGCCAUAUACCACAGGGCGAGCUGCCUACCUGUAAAAGCUUCUGUUCUGGGCAGGAUCUCCUGUUCUAGGGCAGUAACAGACAGGAAAGUAUGUGCCUUCCCAUAAUGUCACAAUUUACUGAGUAAUAAAUCCCCAGCUCUCUUCAACUACAUAAGCUGCUGUGACCACCAGCAAACAGGUUC